GUGCAAAUAUUUUUGGAGGGCCACUUAAGUUCAAUUCCACCAGCAUCUUGACCAAAGACAUUACCUUCACCGUGUCCGUGAUAAGCGCCAUAAUCGUCCUUCUGAGCUGAAAGUUCUUAAUACCUGGAAAAAGCUCAUUCAGAUCCUCUCUGGUCAAAGUAAAGACUUGAGCAUCAUCAAUUCCUACAUCUAGAAACAGGUGAACAAUGUAGCAUGUCACACUGCAAGAGCUUAGUUUAAUACAUUUAUUUUUAACAGGUGUGAUAGAUAAAUGGCAUUAUAAACAUUAUCAGGUAACAUAGCCUACAUACCAUCCAAGACAGAAGACUGAGAGAUUGCAUUGAUUUGUUGUAGGAGAGCUCUUCCCUUCUUGAAAGUUUGGAAAUAAAGAUGGAUCAUGGAUCAGACCCAUUAUAACAUGUCUGCUACAUGUGUACCAAGCAGGAGGAAAAUGUCAAAACCAAAACUAAACCCCCAAACACCAGAUGUCAUAAAAGAUUUGGGAAGAGAGGCUGAAGGUAGUGGAACGAAACCAUCCAAAGUAAGACCAAGCAUCCUCAACUUGAGUUAUGCAUCAAUAUGCCAGCGGAUAAGAUAUAUAUUUAGGCAGUUAAUAAAAUUAAACAUGAUAUCAUCAGAUUUUAUUAUUGCAUUUGUGUUAUUGCAUUUCAGAAUGAGGGGACAAGCUCUCAGAAAAUAAAGAGAACUUACACCAGAAAAAAGUACC
ensembl:lncRNA